UUGAACGCUGGCGGCAUGCCUUACACAUGCCAGUCGAACGGUAACGGGCCUUCGGGUGCCGACGAGUGGCGAACGGGUGAGUAAUACAUCGGAACGUGCCCGAUCGUGGGGGAUAACGAGGCGAAAGCUUUGCUAAUACCGCAUACGAUCUACGGAUGAAAGCAGGGGACCGCAAGGCCUUGCGCGGACGGAGCGGCCGAUGGCAGAUUAGGUAGUUGGUGGGAUAAAAGCUUACCAAGCCGACGAUCUGUAGCUGGUCUGAGAGGAUGAUCAGCCACACUGGGACUGAGACACGGCCCAGACUCCUACGGGAGGCAGCAGUGGGGAAUUUUGGACAAUGGGCGCAAGCCUGAUCCAGCCAUGCCGCGUGCAGGAUGAAGGCCUUCGGGUUGUAAACUGCUUUUGUACGGAACGAAAAGCCUUCUUUUAAUACAGGAGGGUCAUGACGGUACCGUAAGAAUAAGCACCGGCUAACUACGUG
rnacentral:rRNA from 1 species